GACGAACGCUGGCGGCGUGCCUAAUACAUGCGAGUUGAGCGCUGAAGGUUGGUACUUGUACCAACUGGAUGAGCAGCGAACGGGUGAGUAACGCGUGGGGAAUCUGCCUUUGAGCGGGGGACAACAUUUGGAAACGAAUGCUAAUACCGCAUAAAAACUUUAAACACAAGUUUUAAGUUUGAAAGAUGCAAUUGCAUCACUCAAAGAUGAUCCCGCGUUGUAUUAGCUAGUUGGGUAGGUAAAGGCUCACCAAGGCGAUGAUACAUAGCCGACCUGAGAGGGUGAUCGGCCACAUUGGGACUGAGACACGGCCCAAACUCCUACGGGAGGCAGCAGUAGGGAAUCUUCGGCAAUGGACGAAAGUCUGACCGAGCAACGCCGCGUGAGUGAAGAAGGUUUUCGGAUCGUAAAACUCUGUUGGUAGAGAAGAACGUUGGUGAGAGUGGAAAGCUCAUCAAGGGACGGCAACUACCCAGAAAGGGACGGCUAACUACGU
rnacentral:rRNA from 1 species